UGGGCAACCUGCCCCUCUCUCUGGGAUAACCCCGGGAAACCGGAGCUAAUACCGGAUACUCCGGCUGGAUCGCAUGGUCCGGCCGGGAAAGGUCCGCCGGAGAGGGAUGGGCCCGCGGCCUAUCAGCUUGUUGGUGGGUCAUGGCUCACCAAGGCGACGACGGGUAGCUGGUCUGAGAGGACGACCAGCCACACUGGAACUGAGAUACGGUCCAGACUCCUACGGGAGCA
rnacentral:rRNA from 1 species